AGAUGACUUUUACCCCACUGCAUCCAGACUGCAAAUAAAUCGCGCAUGUGCAAAGGCACUGCUGGCAUGUGAUGCAGAACCGCAGAAGAAAAGAACCUACUGCAAGGAAAGAACGCUAAUGUACACCGAGCAUCUGAAGAACAACAUGCAAGUGCUCAAACACAUUGGAUCCAAAACCUGUUCCAGUUCCUCAGACACCAUCAGAGACUGUUUUGAAAGCCCUCUACUAUCAAUCUGGAUAAAAAGAAACUUUGCCAACCACUGCAAGUAUCAAGUGUUUUAAAUUUUGUUGGUUGGUUGUAUUAAGUUUGAUAAUAAUUAGAUCAGUGCCUUUUUAGUCAUUAAUUUGAUUAUUAAAUAUUAACUGUUUAGGGCAGCACGGUGGCACGGUGGUUAGCACUGUUGCUGCACAGCAAGAAGGUCCUGAGUUCAAUUCCACCAUCAGGCCGGGGUCUUUCUUUGUGGAGUUUGCAUGGUUAAUUGAUUAAUCCAAAUUGCAUAGGUGUAAAUGUGAGUGCGAAUGGUUGUCUGUCCCUGUGUGUUAGCCCUGUGACAGACUGGUGACCUGUCCAGGGUGUACCCCGCCUCUCGCCCCAUGAAAGCUGGGAUAGGCUCCAGCGCGACCCUGAAAAAGGAUAAGUGGAAGCGGAUGGAUAUUAACUGUUUAAUUUAAUCAUUGUCUCUACUGGUUUUUAUUAAUGUUUCUAGCAAAUUAUGACAAAUUUUAAAACAAUUUUAUUCUAUUCUAAUUUUUCUAUUAGCCCUAUUAUGUUUAUUACCUCAUUUGUUGGACCUUAAUCUUUUUAGACGAC
ensembl:lncRNA